CACACAAACACAUAUGUGGCGGAGACAUAAAAGCACGGCCACUUAUGUGUGCAGACACACAUUAUCUUUGAAAGAAAAAUUUAAUAGCCAGUAUAAUAGUGAGGGUAGAUCAUUGCACUUUUGCAGUGCAACGAAAUUUAAACUUACCAUAUUAUCCAUGCUGAGUAAUGAAAUGUUCAAAGUUCAAAGAAAGUCAGCCUUCCGUCAAUAGAUUGAUUGGUUAUACUCUAGCAACAUCUGAUUCAUGCAGUAGAUAUUAGCAUGUAAAAAACCGCCAGUCAAAGCCUCUCAGCAAGAUGUCUGUCUGUUACAAAAAUAAAGGAAGUCAGCAAAGGAAAAUGACAACAGCCACCAAUAAUGUCUUAUUUACCUUUUUAUUUUAUCUAUUGAAACAAAUGUAAAAUUAUUAGCCCCCACUUGGCAUACAUCAAUUACUACUUGGAAAUACACUUGUUGAUUCUUUCUUUGGGUUGGAUUAGCAGAAGAGGGAGAAAUCUUAUUAGUCUUCCAAAUAAAAAAGAACAUGUCAUAAUAUCCAGCCAAAAUUUGGCCUCUUUUGGCUUAAAAGCCAAAAUUUCGCUACUUUUGGAGAAAAAGCAAAAGAAGCGAGGUCAAAACAAUCUAUCAACAAAAUUUGUCUGCUAAUAUAAUCAGCGGGUACCUGGUUAUAUUUGCCCAACCAGAAUUUCCAUUUUUUUUCAUUUAUCGGAAUAUGAAAUUCGUGCGAAUAAUACCAGAACCGCUCCAACUGGGCUUUAAUCAUCAACCAUCAGUAUCCCAAAAAAUUUCUUUCUUUCUUUUUUUUACAGUAUGUUUUCCCAAAAAAAAAAUAAUAAUAAAUAAUUAAA
rnacentral:lncRNA from 1 species